AUGGGGACGUCGCAGGGGCUGGAGCCGGAGCUGGUCUCGAUCCCGGCGAGCCCUGGGGGCCUCCACGCCGGAGGCGGUGACCCCGACGGGCCAGCGGUCGCGCGGUGGCGAAGGGGAGCCCGUCUCGGCCAAGUCGGGCACGGCAUCGCCGCGGUUCCUGAGCCCGUCGAUGUCUUCGGCGUUGGGGACGCCGAUGAAGCGCGUGCUGGUGAAUCUACGGGGCUACUUGGAGGAGGUGGGCCACCUGACGAAGCUCAACCCCCAGGACGCAUGGCUCCCCAUCACCGAGUCCCGCCACGGCAACGCCCACUACGCCGCAUUCCACAACCUCAACGCCGGCAUCGGCUUCCAGGCGCUCCUCCUCCCCGUCGCCUUCGCCUUCCUCGGAUGGAGUUGGGGGAUAAUAGCUCUGACCGUUGCCUACUUUUGGCAACUUUACACUCUCUGGAUUCUGGUUAAGCUACAUGAAGCUCUACCUGGUAGAAGAUACAAUCGAUAUGUGGAACUUGCACAGGCUGCAUUUGGAGAAAGGUUUGGUGUUUGGCUGGCUUUGUUCCCGACAAUAUACUUAUCAGCAGGGACUGCAGCAGCACUGAUUCUGAUCGGAGGGGAAACCUUGAAGCUCUUCUUCCAGAUAGUCUGUGGAUCUCUGUGUUCAUCGAACCCGCUUUCGACCGUGGAAUGGUAUCUAGUGUUUACGUUUCUGUGCAUCGUCCUGUCUCAGCUCCCAAAUCUCAACUCCAUCGCUGGCCUCUCUCUCAUCGGAGCUCUCACAGCAAUCACUUACACUUGCAUGGCUUGGCUACUCUCCGUUGGCCAAGAAAGGCCACCUUCCGUCUCUUAUCAGCCCCUGUCAUCCCCUUCCUUGGGGGCUGCAGCUUACUCGGUCUCGAAUGCUCUCGGCAUAAUAGCAUAUGCAUUCAGAGGACACAACCUUGCGUUGGAGAUUCAGGCAACGAUGCCGUCGACCUUCAAGCAUCCUGCUCAUGUUCCAAUGUGGAGAGGAGCCAAAGUCGCUUACCUGCUGAUAGCCAUGUGCUUCUUCCCCAUUGCCAUCGGAGGCUUCUGGGCGUAUGGAAACCUGAUGCCCGCAGGAGGAAUACUGAAUGCUCUAUACGCAUUUCACAGCCGUGAUAUCUCCAGGGGACUUCUGGCCACAACAUUUCUGUUGGUUGUGUUCCACUGCCUCACCAGUUUCCAGAUAUACUCCAUGCCGGUGUUCGACAGCUUCGAAGCGGGUUACACGAGUCGAACCAACCGGCCCUGCUCCAUUUGGGUCCGAUCCGGCUUCCGAGUCUUCUACGGCCUCAUCUCCUUCUUCGUCGGAGUGGCACUUCCCUUCCUCUCGAGCCUCGCUGGGCUGUUGGGUGGACUCUCUCUUCCGGUCACGUUUGCUUACCCUUGUUUCAUGUGGAUUCGCAUGAAGCAGCCUCCAAGGUUCAGCUUCGACUGGUAUCUCAACUGGAGCCUGGGCAUCGUCGGCAUGGCUUUCAGCUUAGCUUUCUCUGUAGGCGGUGUUUGGAGCAUGAUCAACAGCGGGAUCCAGCUUAAGUUCUUCAAGCCUAACUAAGCUCCAGUUACUUUGGAUGUUCGUCGCGGUAACUUCUGGUGUUUUAUCAUGUCGGACGUUUACUUUUGAUGAAGUCAGGCUUGAUAGAUUCUGCAUAAAACGUUAGAUGUAUUGAAAUCACUUCGCCUACCGCCGACCAGAAACAUGAUCCGUAAAUAUU